UGCCAAUGCAUCCCCAAAGCUUCCUGCUUGAUUUCUUACAUGGGAUGGAUCCACCUUGUAGAAUACCGGAAUAACUCUCUGUCCAUUGUUUUUUCUACGCUCAAGAAUCUUAGCAAGCUCCUCCAAGCACCAUUUGGAAGAUGCAUAGUUUGCAGAAAAAACAAUCAAAGAAAGCUUGGCCUCUUCAAUUGUUCUCAGAAGUGAUGCCGAAAUCUCAUCUCCUCUCACAAGCUGAUCAUCUAUGAAAGUUAGGAGUUGUUUCCGUUUCAAAGCAGCAUGGAGGUGGCUGGUAAAACCAACACGAGUGUCUUCUCCCCUGAAACUAAGGAAGACAUCAUAUUUAAUUCCUUGUGGCUGGGCGGUGGUUAAGGUGGAAGGAGUAGAUGGGGAUGGAGAAACAAGGGCGGUGGUUAAGGUGGAAGGAGUAGAUGGGCAUGGAGAAACAAGGGUGGUUAAGGUGGAAGGAGUAGAUGGGGAUGGAGAAACAAGGGCGGUGGUUAAGGUGGAAGGAGUAGAUGGGCAUGGAGAAACAAGGGCGGUGGUUAAGGUGGAAGGAGUAGAUGGAGAUAAAUGACGGUUUCGUAUGAUGAAUCUCCAGAUAUAAGCAAACACUUCGAAGAAACAAGAGUAAUUAGACUCUGGUGGUAAGGUAGGCAUGGAGGGAGAGAGCGGAAGUAACUCAAGGAAAAAAGAUGAGGCUGAUUUUGAAUCAGUAGCUUAGGCUUUACGUGUUUAAGACCCUGCCUUACGUAUAAUUUAUAAUAAUCAAAUCCAAGAAUUUUCUUAGAACAUUACAAGAUUGCACAUUGUUGAUUUCCUGGAGAUUCCCCAGUUACAAAGUGAUGUGAUAGGAAAAGGCAUUUAUACGUUGUUUUGUUUUUAUGGUAUUCCCAGUGUUUUUAUAAAUUUUAAUUUUUAAAAAAAUUAAAUUUUUAUUAUUAUUUUAAUUUACUGAUAUAAAAAUAAUUUUAAAAAUAAAAAGCAUAUAUAUAUAUUCUUGUUUAUGAUAUCACAGCUGUGAUAGAUACCUUUUUUAAUAUUUCAAAUGUAUUAGCCAUUCACUUGGCGGAGUAGCAGAUCUUCUCUUUAACUUUUUUAUUAUAUAUUUUUUAAAAACACUAAACACUUAUAUGUGUCCCACAUCGAUCAUUCUUUAGUCUAUUAAUUUUUAAUUCAAAUUCUGUUAUAAUUUUCCAGGAAAUUACGAAUUUCUUGUCUUUGUUCUUUAAGGAACGGUUGCCUUUGAUAAUGGUCAUAUCAAAAUCUGUCAUAGCACUUUUUAGAAAUAUACUGUGUUUUAUAAAAAAUUAAUUUUUUAUUUAAAUUUAAUAUUUUUUAAUUUUUUUGAUAUACUAAAAUUAAAAAUAAUUUUUUAAAACAUAAAAAUAAUAUUUUAAUAUAUUAUAAUUUCCCUAGCAGCCCAAGGGAGCUGCCGUGCACAUGGAAGGAAAGGCGCGUUUAUCCUUGCUUGUAAACAAUGUUUUUAUAAAUUUUGAUCUUUUUUUAUUUUUUAUUUGAAAUUAUUAUUUUUUAUUUUUUUCCGGUUUGUUUUAAUAUGUCAGUGUAAAAAAAAAUUAUUUAAAAAUAAAAAAUUCAUUGUUUUAAUAUAUUUUUAAAUAAAAUACACUUUAAAAAAUAAUUAUUACUAUACUUAUAAAAGUUUUCUAUAUUUUCAGUCCAAGUAUUUGCCGGAGGAAUUUUUUGCUUUCAUGUUAUAUUAUAAUAGUUACGAUGAUUUAAUUGAAAAAAACAUGUUAGAGAGCUUAUUUGAUAUUGUACUAGUGAUUAAUUUUUAAAUUGUUUUUUUAUUAGAAAUACAUUAAAAUAAUAUUUUUUAUUUUUUAAAAUUUAUUUUUGAUAUGAGAACCUCAAAAUAAUAUAAUUAAAACAUAAAAAAAUUAAUUUAAAAUAAAAAAAAUUCAAAUUCAAGUAUUUUCCUUCCUGGAAAUUUUCCAUGCACAAAAAGCUUCAAGUCUUAUUAUUUGUGAUGCGGUAGGAAAGGGCGUUUAGGCUUUUGUUUGUCUUUGCUGUGUAAUCAAUGUUUUAAUAAAUUUUAAAAUUAUUUUAUAUUUUAUUUUAGAUUAAUUUUUUUUAGUUUUUUUUAGUUUUUUUUGGUGUUAAAAAUAAUUCUUUAAAAGUAAUAAAAAACAUUAUCUUAAUGUAUGUUCAAUCAAAACAUAUUUUAAAAAUUAAUUUCUACUACACUCAUAAACACCCUUUAUAUCUUCAAUCCAAGUGUAUGCACAUGCCAAAGACUUUUUUGCAUUCACGCCUAUUGUAUAUUUGAUUGAGAAGAACUUAUUAAAGAAUGUACUUGGUAUUGAGAUAAUAAUUGUUAUUUAAGAUAAUUUUCAUUUGAAAAUACAUUAAAAUAUUUUUUAAAAAUUUAUUUUUAAUAUCAAUAUAUUAAAACAAUAUAAAAAUAUAAAAAAUUAAUUAAAAAUAAAAAAAUCAAAUUCAUGUAUUUUCUCAGACGUUAGAGAGGGUGCACAUCUACUUGGAAAUUUCCUGUGGACAGAAAGGCUUAAUGUCUUGUUAUUUGUUUUUUCUUUUUGUGAUUUGGUAGGAAGGGUAUCGAGUCUUCCAUACAAGUGUUUGCACGAACUAGGACUUUGUUGACUUCCAAUUAUAUUAUAGUGAUUAUAAUUAUUUCAUUGGGAAAAACUUGUUACUCUGCCCCAAUAAUAGGAAUUUUUUAAAAAACAAAUUGAUACAGUUAGAGAAAUAAUAAUAUGGUUUAAUUUUAUUUAAAAAGGAACAUGGUUUUUUUUUAUAAAAAAACUGCUAUUUUAAACUACGAUUUUAAUAUAAAAGCGAUUCAGAAUCACAAUCGUGGUUCUGUUUACUGCUUUUGGCAAUAUAAUUGGCAUGCAUCCAUGUAAUUAUAAUUACUUCUUCUUUUUACAUGCUUUCUUCCACCUCAUUACACACAAUCUAUUCAAAUAAAUCGGCAGAUGCCUUUUCCUUUUCCUUUUAUAUAUAUUUAUUUAUUGUGAAGAAGAAGAAGAAAAAGAAGUCGUCUUGAAGGAGAGAGGAAGGGACUGGGGAUCGAUGGGGCCAAUCCUCUGGGACGACGACUUGACCUUAAGUACUCUUCCUGGCGAGUGCUUGGGCACCGUGUUCGGGAAGCUGAGUUUGGAAAUUACGUGUUUCAUCAUGGCUGUUGACGAGAAAAAGAAGAAGAAGAACAAGAAACAGUAAAAUAAUUAUUUUUUAUCAUUUAACUAGCUAGAUUUUUUUUAUAAAAUUCAUUUAUCAUGGUCAUUGUUGUAAUUAUCAAAGACAAAAUAAUUUUUAAACAUUUUACAAGUACAAAAAAAUAAUUUAAAUAUUCUUAAAAAUAAAGUUCUUAAAACUAAUAUUCAUGAGUAUUUUGGUCUUUUUAACAUUUUCAUAACAAAAAUAACUAUAUUACUCUUAAAAAAAAUAAAAUAAAAAUAAAAUAAAGAAGAAGUUCUUAAAACUUUAUUUAUUUUUUUUAAUUUUUUCAGAUUGAACUGAGUUAACCCAUAAAACCCGGGACUCGAUCCCUUGGCCGGGUUAACUUCCAGAUCGAGUUUAAUAACUAUAGUUUUUGCAUGUCGAUGAUAUUUUUGCCUAACAUUAUAUUAUAAUAGCUAUCAUAAUCUGAUUGAAAAGAAUUUGUCAGAGAAAUUAUUUGUCAUUGUAAUAAUAAUUAUUUUUAAAGUAUUUUUAACUUUAAAAUAUAUCAAAAUAAUAUAUAUUUUUUAUUUUUUAAAAUUAAUUUUUGAUAUCAACACAUUAAAAUGGUAUAAAAAAUAAUAAUUUAAAAUUAAAAAAAUAAAAAAAUUCUACUCAUUUCUUUCCGCUUUCGUUUUUCUGCUUAAGGCUGGAUGGGGGCCAAAAAUGACAUGCAAGCUCGAAAAUGGUAAGGGUAAAAAAAUUCAAGCUUGCAUGUCAUUUUUGGCCCCCAUCCAGCCUUAAGCAGAAAAACGAAAGCGGAAAGAAAUGCUUUUUCUUAAAACCUUGAUCCAGUGACCUUAGUUUGGAUUAGAUUUAAAUUCAUUCAGAUGAAGAUUAACCCUAUUCAUGAAAAUUUAAGAUUUAAAUUAUUAAUCAGAUGAAAAAUUAAAUUAUUCUAGUGUUAGUGUAGGGUUUAAGUAAUAGACUACCACUAAACUAAGCUACUUAGAUAAGCUCAAAACAAUUGAACUCUUAUUCAUGAAAAUUUAAAUUAUUUCUUUGUCAACGAAGAGGGCUGGACAACUUGCUAUGUCUUUUAAUUAAAAUUAAAAUUAAAAAAAACUAAAAAUUAUUCGUAAUUAUAAGAGACAAAAUAACUCUUAAAAAUAUUAGAAGUACAAAAAAAUAAUUUAAAUAUUUUUAAAACUAAUAUCCAUGAGUGUUUUGGUCUUUUUAACAUUUUCAUAACAGAAAUAACUAUAUUACUCUAGAAAAAAAUAAAAAAAAAUAAAAAAUAAAGAAGAAGUUGUCUUGAGUAGGGCCGGGGAUGGGCCAAUCAUCUUUUUGAUGGUCGGGCAAUAAUAGCCAUUUGGAUGGGGACGACGACUUGACCUCGACUCUUCCAGGCAAGUGCUUGGGCAGUGUGUUUGGGAAGCUAAGUUGCCUUGUGACAUUACGCAAUUAUGUAUUUCUUGUCUUAACGGUGGCUUUCGAUAAUUAAUGGUCAUAAUGAUUAGAGACAAAUUAAUUUUUAACCGUUUUAGAAGCACUGAGGAAUGUUUCAAAUAUUCUUUGAAGUAAAAUUUUAAAAACUAGGAUUCAUGGGUGUUUCGGUAAAAUAAUUAAAGUAAAAUUUUUAGUUAUAAUCAAAGUGAAUGAGAGAUAUUUGCAUCUUAAAAGCAUUCAUGUUUUUUAGACAGCACAUGUUACAUUUCUCCGCAAACAUGUGUGCAUGACCGGGGAUGGGCCAAUCCUCUUCUUCAUGCCCCUGCAAUAAUUGCUAUAUUGAAGGGAUGAUGACUUAAACUAAGUAUGUAUUUAGAAGUAUAGUUGUGAUUUUUUUUUAAUUGUUGUUAUUUUAAAAUAAAUUAAAAUAAUUUUUUUUUAUUUUUAAUUUUUUUAAAAUUAUCAUAUUAAAAUAAUUUAAAACAUAGAAAAAAUAUUAAUUUUUAAUAAAAAAAAUUUAAUUUAUUUUAAAAAUAUAGCUUUAACCACGUUGCAGACGGUGUCGGCAGAUGCAGAUGCCUUUUCUUUUUUUCUUUUUUAUCGGCAGAUGCCUUUUUCUUUUUAGAUGCCUUUUGCCUUUUCCUUUAUAUAUAUAAAGGAAAAAGAAAACACGUAAUUUCGAGGAAGACAUAAGGUCAAGUCGUCGUCCCCACCCAUCGAUAUGGCUAUUAUUGCCCGAGCAAUAAUGUCUUGUGGACAGAAAGGAUUCAAAUAUUCUUUGAAGUAAAAUUUUAAAAACUAGGAUUCAUGGGUGUUUCGGUAAAAUAAUUGAAGUAAAAUUUUUAGUUAUAAUCAAAGUGAAUUAGAGACAUUUGCAUCUUAAAAGCAUCCAUGUUUUUUUAGACAGCACAUGUGACUUUUCUCCGCAGACCAACACCACUUUUUAUGACUGUAUUAAAGCAUAACGACGUCAUUUUUUUAAUGGUUAGACACGUGUGCAUGACUGCGUAAUGGUUUGCCUCCAACAAUUAUUGCUGUAAUUAGAAGAAACAUAUAUUCUCGUGUAUCAUCAUAUCACAACUGUGAUAGAUAAUUUUUUUAAUAUUUCAAAUGGAUUAGUUGUUCCCUUAGCGUAUUAGCAGCUUUAGGAUCUUUUGUUAUUUUCUCUUCAAAUUUAUUUUUUUAUUAUUAUAUAAACACUUCUGUCCCACAUUGUUGACUUCCUGGGAAUUUCCCAUGUAGAAAAGGCUUCAUGUCUCGUUAAUUAUCAAAACAAGACAAAAGAAUGGCGGGCUAUAAUUCUCCGUGUGAAGAAGAAGAAGAAGUCGUCUGGAAGGAGAGAGGGAAGGGACCGGGGAUGGGCCACUCCUCUUCUUCAUGCUCCUGCAAUAAUAGCCAUAUUGACGGGGACGACGACGUGACCUUACAAUUAAAUUUGUAUCAUCAUUCUUACAAGAAUAUAAUAAUAUGAUCAACAAUUCUUUAAACAGUGUCUCCAAAAAGCCGUGUUUCCUGGAAAUUUAUUAUGUAUAAAAGGCUUCGGGUUUUUUUUUUUUUAUUAGGGCAUCAAGUCUUCGAUCAAGUGUUAACGCGUAUAGAGGAAUUUGUUGACUUCACAUUAUAUUAUAAUGGUUAUUAUGAUUUUACUGGGAAGAAAUAACGAGUUAUAUUGCUCAUUAUAUUACUCUGCCCCAAUAAUAGGAAUUUUUUUUAAAAAUGAUACAUUUAGAGAAAUAAUAUGGUUUAAUUUUUUUUUAGAAAACAACGUAGUUUCAAAAAAUCUGCUAUUUUAAAUCUCGAUAUCUGUGAUUUUGCAAAAUCACAAUCUAUCCAAAUAAAUCGGCAGAUGCCUUUUCCUUUUUCCUUAAUAUAUAUUUAUUUAUUGUGGAGAAGAAGAAGAAAAAGAAGUCGCCUUGAAGGAGAGAGGAAGGGACGGGGGAUGGGGCCAAUCCUCUUCUUCAUAUUGACGGGGACGACGACUUGACCUUAAGUAGUCUUCCUGGCAAGUGCUUGGGCAGCGUGUUCGGGAAGCUGAGUUUGGAAAUUACGUGUUUCUCGUCACCAGUGCUUUGACUGUUGAUAACGACAACUGGUGAUUUUGGGCCUGCUUUGGCAACUUGAUAGAAUGUUUUUGAUCCUCACCAUUUUCAUGAUGUGAGCUUGCAUGUCAUUUUACGCCUACAUCCAAUCUUAUGCGGAAAAACGAAAGAGGAAAGAAAUACUCAAUGAUUUUAUGAGAACCUGAAAACGAAUGUUUUUGCAUCUCAUUUCUGGCCUCCAGUAACCUUAGUUUGGACUAGAUUUAAAUUAAAAUAGAUGAGAAUUAUCCCACAAAACUACUAAAAUUAAAAACUAUGAAUAUAUUAUUGAGACUUUUACUGAUAACAAAAUGAACUAUGAACAAUCAGUACUAUCAAUGGUCAUAUUAAACUACAUAUAUAUAAAAAAAUAAAAUUACAAAUGCAGUAUCCACAAAGUUUAAGUCUUGAGUAACAAAGUUAUCUAUACAUACCAUGCAUUGAUGAUAUGAGAACCUGAAAAUAAACCCAAUAAACCUUCAAAGUACAGGUCUUUAAAAUUAAGAAAAAAAAAAAUUCUUCAUGUGAACUGAGCAUAUGAAAAUAAUAAGAGAAAAAAAGGGAACCUGCUAAGGGGUUUACUGAUAAUUAAUCUUCAUGUGAACUGAGGGCACAUUUUUUUUUAUCCUUUUUUUUCCAGUUUAUCUUAAACGUUAGAUUUACUGAUAAUUAAAUUUUAGAUUUUUAUUUUUCUCCGUGCGAGGUUUUCCCUUUGUAUGCAGCCCCUUUAACAGUUAAUCUGCAUUACAUGGGACAUGGAAAGUGAGCUCAGAAUAGGAAAAAGAUGUGAAUUUGUUGACUACACAUUAUAUUAUAAUGGUUAUUAUGAUUUUAUUGGAAAGAAAUAAUGAGUUAUAUUACUCAUUAUAUUAGUCUGCCCUUAUAAUUGGAAUUUUUUUAAAAAAUGAUACAGUUAGAGAAAUAAUAUGGUUUAAUUGUUCUUUAGAAAACAACAUAGUUUCAAAAAAUCUGCUAUUUUAAAUCUUGAUUUUAAUAUAUCUGUGAUUUUGCAAAACCACAAUCUAUCCAAAUAAAUCGGCCUUUUCCUUUCUCCUUUUUAUAUAUUUAUUUAACUGAUGACAGAAUGAACUAUGAACAAUCAAUGCUAUCAAUGGUCAUAUUAAACUACAUAUACAUAAGAAAAUAAAAUUACAAAUGCAUUAUCCACAAAGAUUAAGUCUUGAGUAACAAAGUUAUCUACACAUACCAUGCAAUGAUGAUACGAGAACCUGAAAAUAAACCCAAUAAGCCUUCAAAGUCCAGGUCUUUAAAAUUAGAAAAAAAAAUCUUCAUGUGAACUGAGCAUAUGAAAAUAAUAAGAGAAGAAGAGGGAACCUGCUAAGGGGUAGUAGAAACCAACACCUUGAAGGUGUUUGCCAUCUCUUGGAGUAUGGCUAUUAGCAGCAACAAUUCUAUAAAAUGCCCUGUUUUUGCAUCCCAGUCUUGCUAAACCAAUCUUCACCGCCAUUUUCUCUACUAAAAUAAAUAUCUUAGUAUUGGGUUGUGACUGAUUUUAUGAGCUUUCUUAUUAUCAUAUAGAACCAAUGAUAUAAAUUCAUGUUUUCUAUAUAUUUUUUUUCUUUUCCUUUUCGUUGCUUUCUUCACAUUCUUCUUGCCAACCAAGCUUGAACUUGGUUUCAGAGUGGGAGAAGACCUUAUAAUUUACAAUUUAUUGCCAUCAUUGGCCCCAGUCAGAUAUACUUUUAUUUUUUACAGUACUUUCGUCAAUGGUUCUUUCAUACACACACAUGUUGAUUUCUAAGCUGAUAAUGUUCAAAAAAAACUUCACACUUUUUUGAUAUUGUGCAAGCACUCAUAUCAUUUGAUGUAUUCCAUAAAAAUAGCGUGCAUUCGACCAUUAAGUUAGAGACUAUUUAUCGGUGGGUUGCUUCUUACAAUGGCCCUAAAGAUGUGAGUAUAGCCUUCCCCAGAAGUCUUUUAUCUUUCAUAUAUUUAUGGUGUAAUGGGCACAAUUUGGUAAAUCAUAAUGGAAACCAGGUCUAAAACCAAGUCUUGUUUAUUGUUCCAGGAAACUUAGAUUUUACACGAACAAUGCUAAAUGCCAUUUCUAGCAUGUUAUGAGAAGUAGUUAUGAGACACUCAUCAAUGAGCGUGCUUAUAUAAAAAAUCACAGGCCGACAAUAAAAGCCAUCUAAUAUUCUUAUAGCUUGGUUUUGUUCAAAUCUUCUAAAGAAAUAUGGAUUGUUUAUUCAAUGCACUGCACCAUUCUACAGUGCUUUUACCAUAGAGAGAGGAACCCAAAUCUAUAAGAGCCAACGGAUUGCCUUGUACAUGACUUACAAUCUUUUCUAUCAAUUCUCUAUGAUCAAUUGUGGGGUUGCAAUUCUUCAAGGCUUUUGAGCUAAAGAGUUUAAGAGAUUCUUCAUAGUUCAACCCCUCAACCUCGUAUGUUUCGUCUACUACAUUUUUAAGCACUUGCUUGUCCCUACUUGUUAUGAGAACUUUACUGCCCGAACCAAAUGAAUGUGUCGUCCAUCAAGCAAAUCUUUCCAUUCUUCCAAAGGCAUGAAAUCAUCCACAUCAUCCAGAACAAUAAAAACCUUUUUACGACGAAGUCUCUCCCUCUCAAAAGAAUCUCGAAAACUAAAGGAGCCAAUGUCAUAAUUUCUUGGCCAAGCAGCUGUGAAAGAAAGCUUCUUUGCAAAUCAGCCAUGGAACCAGUUUUUAAUUCUUGCCUAAAGUUUGCGAAAAAGAUUCCUUCAAAUCGAGAACGAACCUUGUUGCACACAGCUUGAGCAAUCGUUGUCUUACCGAUACCAUCCAUUCCCCAUAUCCCUACAAUGAGAACAUCUGGAGAUUCCAUAUUUAACAAAGAUUCAACUUUGUUAACGCGAACAUCAAUUCCAAAUAGACCCGUAGUGUGACUUGAAGACACAGCUUGCAAUUUGUUCGAAACAUCUCCAAUGAUUUUCUCAAUAAAUUCAGACUCCAGCCUGACAAACAAGAAGAACACACCUAAUUGUUAGCCAAAAUGGACCGGACAAGAAGAAACAUAUAAACAUGCUCACUCCUUAGUAGCUACAUCUAUACAUAGUAGACACGUAUGAGUAAUUGAGCAUCAUUAUUGGCAAUGGAUAGUGCUAAUGUAACACAUGAAUCAUAAACCUGGACAAGAUUCUCUUACUGGGCCUCUCGAGAGAAUGAAUUUGAGUUUAGAAAUAUGCAGCAGCUCCCUACUUGUAUCACGCUACAGUAAUCAAUCAUUGAAACUGGAAACUACUUGUAAGUGUAUAUCUAAGAAAAUCAAUGAAAUGCAAAUGCAUAAUAUGUUUUCUCAAAUCAUCAUAUCAUAUAAUCCUUUCAAUUAAAAAAGUUUAAGUUGUUAGGAGAAAAUCUCAAAAUAUAUAAUUUAUAGUAUUUUUUAAGUCAUCAUGAUCUUUUUCACCUCAAAUUAAUGCCCCAAUUUCAAGUGAAACGAUAGAAGAAAACAUUGAAACGUUGAUUGUCCUGAUAAAAAUUAAUAUAAGGAUUCCUAAAUAUCUUCUUUCUGUCUCCUAAAGCUUAAGAUCUGUACAAGUGUUUCGCUACAACGUUUUCAAAAUCAAAUAAAAUAAAUAUAAAUUCACAGAGCUCAUCAUUCUCAAUAAUUUUAAAUUAAAUCUCAAAUCCUCAACAAAUGAACGAAUAUUUUUCUUAUGGGAUAUAUUUCAGGAGCUUACUCAGACUUCCCUAAGCUCCAUCCAGGUAGAUUGGCUGCAUCCGUCAAAGCGUCACUGAAGCUCUGCACUUCUUCCAACGUCAGAGCUUUAUUCCUUAUAAGUCUAGCAAAUGCAUCCCCAAACCUUCCUGUUUGAUUUCUUACAUGGGAUUGAUCCACCUGGUAGAACACAGGAAUAACUAUCUGUCCAUUGUUUUUUGCACGCUCAAUAAUCUUUGCAAGCUCCUCCAAGCACCAUUUGGAAGACGCAUAGUUUUCAGAAAAAACAAUCACAGAAAGCUUGGCCUCUUCAAUUGUUUUCAGAAGUGACGCCGAGAUCUCAUCUCCUCUCACAAGCUCAUAAUCUAUGAAAGUUAGGAUUUGUUUCCGGUUCAAAGCAGCAUAGAGGUGGCUGGUAAAAGCAACACGAGUGUCUUCUCCCCUGAAACUAAGGAAGACAUCAUAUUUAAUUACUUGUGGCUGGGCGGUGGUUAAGGUGGAAGGAGAAGAUGGGGAUGGAGACAUCAUAUUGUUUUGUGGAGAGACAGUCGAAGAAACAAGAGUAAGACUCUGGUGGUAAGGUAGGUCUGGAGGGAGAGAACGGAAGUAACUCAAGGAAAAAAGAUGAGGCUGAUUUUGAAACAGUAGCUUAGCUUGAUUUUUGAAACAGUAGCGAGGAGAUGGCAUCAAAUCCCAGAAUUUUCUUAGGCAUUACGGAAGUAACCAUUUGUUGAUUUCCUGGAAAUUCCCCAGUUACAAAGUGAUUUUGAAUCAGUAGCUUAGGCUUUACGUGUUUAAGACCCUGCCUUAGGCAUAUGUAUAAUUUAUAAUAAUGGGGGCAUCAAAUCCAAGAAAUUUCUUAGAACAUUACACGAUUGCACAUUGUUGAUUUCCAUUGUUAAAAAUCAAAAGCAUAUAUAUUCUUGUUUAUCAUAUCACAGCUGUGGCCUGUGAUAGAUAACUUUUUUAAUAAUUCAAAUGUAUUAGGUAUUCACUUGGCGGAGUAGCUGAUCUUUUGUUAUUUUCUCUUUUUAACUUUUUUAUUAUGUAUGUUUUUAAAACACUAAACACUUCUGUCCCACGUCAUUCUUUAGUCUAUUAAUUUUUACUUCAAAUUCUUUUAUAAUUUUCCUGGAAAUUACGAAUUUCUUGUCAAAAUGUGUCAGAACACAUUUUUGAAAUAUACUGUUUUUUUUUUAAAAAAUUAAUAUUCUUAUAUUUUUAAAUUAUUUUAAUAUAUUAAAAUUAAAAAUAAUUUUUUAAAAAAUAAAAAUAAUAUUUUAAUACAUUUUAAUUUCCCGUAGCAGCCCAAUGGAGCUGCCAUGCACAUGGAAGGAAAGGCGAUUUUAUCUUUGCCUAUAAACAAUGUUUUUAUAAAUUUUUAUUUUUUUAAUUUUUUAUUUUAAGAUUAAUUCGUUUUAGUUUUUUUCGGUUUGUUUUAAUAUAUUUGUCUUAAAAAUAAUUUUUUAAAAUAAAAAUAUAUUAUUUUAAUGUAUUUUAAAAUGAAAAACACUUUAAAAAACAAUUGUUAUCAUACUCAUAAACACUUUCUAUAUCUUCAGUCCAAGUAUUUGCCUCGCGGAGGACGCUUUUGCCUUUAUAUUAUAUUAUAAUGGUUAUUAUGAUUUAAUUGAAAAGAACUUGUUAGAGAGUCUGUUUGAUAUUAUACUAGUAGUUAUUUUUCAAUUUGUUUAUUAUAAAUAUAUUAAAAUAAUAUUUUUUAUAUUUUAAAAUUUAUUUUUGAUAUUACAAAGUCAAAAAAAUAUAAUUAAAACACAAAAAAAUUAAUUUAAAGUAAAAAAAAAAAAUCAAAUUCAAGUAUUUUCUCAGGGCAUUACAGAAGGUGCCCAUUGUUAGCUUCCUGGAAAUUUUCCAUGCACAAAAGGCUUCAAGUCUUGUUAUUUGUGAUGCCGUAGGAAAAGACAUUUAGGCUUUUGUUUGUCUUUGCUAUGUAAACAAUGUUUUAAUAAAUUUUGAAAUUUUUUUAUAUUUUAUUUUAGAUUGAUUUUUUAUGUUUUAACAAAUAACAAGACAUUAAGCCUUUAAUAAAUGUUUUUUUUUUUUUUAGGAAAAGACAUUUAGGCUUUUAAUCUUGUUAUUUUAGAUUGAUUGACAUUUAGGCUCUUGUUAUUUGUUUUUUAUUUUUGUGAUUUUGUAGGAAGGGCAUCGAGUCUUCCUUAAGUCAUCUGCCGAUGAUAGAUUAUGUGUAAUGAGCUGGAAGGAAUCAUGUAAAAAGAAGAAAUAAUUAUAAGCCAUAUUGAUGGGGACGACGACUUCAUCUCAAGUCUUCCUUUAAAUUACGUGUUUCCUUUUUCCAAAUAUUUUCUCAUGUACAGAGGUGUUGACUUCCCGGAAAUUUCCUAUGUACAAGUCUUGUUCUUUGUUUAUUUGUGAUUUGGUAGCAAUGAUCUACACGCAACGAUCAAGUGUUUGUUAUUUGUUUUUUUUUUAUCUGCAUCGGUUAAAAACCAGACCAGCAAACCCGUUUGACCUACAAGGUCAACUCCUAGAUUUGAUUUAAUAAUUAUAUAGGAUACAUUCCUAUUAAGACGAAGCUACUUUGUUAGGCUUGAAACAAUUGAACUCUUAGAGCAAUUGUUUUGUCUCUUUUUUACAUGCUUCAAAAUACUAUUUUAUCAUUUAAGAUCAUUGCUUUGUCCAUGAAAAGGGUUUAGACAACUUGCUAUGUCUUCUAAUUAAAAUUUUUAAAACUAGGAUUGAUGGGUGUUUCAGUCUUUUAAUGUUUUAAUAGUAUAGUGAAAUAACUACAUUUGUUCUUAAAAGAAAAAUAAAAUAAAAUUAAUAUUUAGGGGUUUUUUUAUAUUUUUUUCAAGGCUUUUUAGUUAUAAUAAAUGUAAAUUAAAGGCAAUUUAGUCUUUUAAAAAAUAAAAAUAUAAUUAAAAAAUAAAAAUUAAUUGAUAUGUGUGUCUGGAUGACAUCCAUGCUCUAUGAGUAUCGCAUGUAACAUCUCUCAAUAGACAAACACUUUUUUUGUGAUAGAGCUGAAAGUGUCACAACAUCAUCUAAUUGCUAAUGACACAACAAUCAGCAAUAAAUAUUUUCUCAAGUAGAAGGACAUACAGGAACAACAAUCAGCAGAUGUUCCAGAUGUUUAAUAAUUUUUUUAAUUAAUAGAAACAAUAAAAAUGUUACCAAAAUACUAUGCAUAUAGACCAAAAAAAAUAACUAUUUAUUGCGACAGUUUAAUUAUAUUUUUCCACUUCUAAGAAAAAACCCAAAAGCUUAUGAGUUAAGGGCAAUUCAAUUUUUUGGCAUCGGUCAAUUAAUUAUUUGACCGGGAAACAUGUAUGUAACCAAAAGCUUUCGAGUUGAGGGCAAUUUUUUGACUAGGACAUAUGUAACUUUUGUAUUUUUUAUGCAUGAUAAAAUGAUUUUUUCAAACCCGGUAUAAAAAAAAUCUAAUGUUGUUUAUUAAGGAUAUUUAGGUUUUUUAGAUACAGUAAAAAAAACAUAUUUGCUCUUGAAAAUCAAGAAAAAAUCAAUCAUUAGUCUAGAGAUUUUUUUUUAUUCAUAUAGGUUUUUUUUUUAAUUCCAGAACUAUAAAGAACAAUUUAAUCCUUUUAAAAUAAUUAACUAAUUUUUAAAUUCAAAAACUUAUUGAUACAUACAAUUCACAUGUCAUCGCAUGGGAGACACUUGUACUCUUUGGACGAUGUGCUCGUGUCUCUAGUGGUCAAAUCUACCCUUUUAGUGGAGGUUAGUUUAUUACUGAUAAGUCAUUUUUUUUUCUUUUCUCUUUUCUCUUUUAAAAAUUAAAGGUUGGUCAUUUUUAUUAUUGAUAUUUUAGUUUUGAUCUUCAUUCUUUCCAUAUUUAAUUAUUUUCUUUAACAUUUUGUAAGAGUUUUAUUUGUUUUCAAUUUAGUUCUUCAAUUUCAAUUUAUCAUAUAUUAUUUUUUUCAAUUUGAUCCUUGUUAUUUGAUUUCUAAAUUUUUUCAAUGCCCUGUUUGUGAAAGUUUUAUUGUUUUUUUUUUUAAUUUCUUCAUUCAAUCCAAUUUUAUGGUGUAUUAUAUUUCUAGUCCAGUCCUCAUUCUUUUGAUUUUCCCCUUUUGUUAAAAUUAUUUUUCAUUUCAAUUUAACGCUUUAAUAAGAAAAUUGGUUUCGCCUUCUAAUUUAUUUAUUUUUUCAAUUUCAUCCUCAUUCGUUUAAUUACUAUUUUAAAUUUUUUUAAAAAAUAUUUUGCAUUAAUGAUUUUUUUAUUUCAUCAUUCAAUAUUUAAUUUGUUAGGGACAUGGUUCAUGAUUUUUUCAUAUAAGGUAUUUUUUGUCUAAUGACCUAGAUCAUGAGUUUAAAAGGUUAACGUGGACUAACAUCCUAUUUUUAGCUUAUUGUUUUUCUUAUUUCAUCGUUUGAUAUUAGUUUUGUUUUCAAAAAAUAAAUAAUAAAAAUUUCACAUUCAACAUUAGUUUUUUUUCCUUCUUCUAUUUUUUUUAUUGCUAUUUGUUUUGUUUUUUAACUUCUUUUGAUUUAUUCUUAUAUUUGUUUCUAAUUAUUUGAUUUAAUUUGAUUUUUUAUAUCAAACCUAGUUUUCACUCUUUAGAAUAUUUUAUCCUUUUAUUAAUUGAGUUUUUGUUUUUUUUUUUUACUUUCAUCCUUAGCAUUUGAUUUCAAUUUUUUUAUGUCGAAUUUUGUCCUCGUUCUUUUUAUUGAUGUUUAUUUUGUUUAAGAUCCUUUUUUUUAUUGCAUUUUUCUUUGUUAAUUUUAUCCCUCAUCAUUUUUAUGGAGGAUUUUGCUUCUUUUUUUUCCACCUUCUAUGAGGUUAAUUUUAGCCUCAUGACUAGGAUCAUGAGUUUUGAAAAUUGACAUGAGGUGGCUUUGGGUUUUUUUUUUUUAUGUGCCUCAACGUUAGAUUUUUUAGAAUUGGUCUUCUUGCUUCUUCUUUUUUUUUUAAUUUUUUUUAUGUGGAAUUAUCUCAUUCUUAUAAAUAUGGUCACAAGGUUAACGUGUUCCCCGGGUUAACUCUAACAACUCAAAUCUUAUUUUAUUUUAAUUUUUUUUAAUUUAAUUGGAGGCAUCUUUUUAUUUCAAAUUUUGUUUUGUUAUUUUUUAGUGUUUAUCUUCUAUGCAGUCGAUCUCCUCAAUUUUCGCUUCAGUCAUGAUCAUGAGUUUCAAAAGUUCACACGUGUAGAUUUUUAUCUUUUUAGUUUUUUUUUAUAAUUAUUUUUUUAAAAUUUCACCCCUAAUAUUUAUUUUCUAAGGAAAAGAUCUUUGUCCUUUUACUUUUUACUUUUUUUUACAUUUAAGUUUUUGGUGUUAUCAAAUAUAUUAAUUCUAUUUAGUUAUUUAUUGAUCAAAUAUGAAUUUAUAUAACUUAUUGUAUAUAUAAACAUUUUAAUUUAUAAUUAGAGAUUUUUUAUAUUAAAAAACUUUAAUUUUUUUAUUAAAAAAAUCUAAUUCAUAGUAAAACAUGAGUGAAAUAUCUAAUUUGUUUUUUUGAAAACAAUAUUUUUUUAGUUUUUAAAAUAAAACUAAAACCAAUUAGUUUCGAAAUUGACUUUGCUCAAUCGGCCAAUCAGUUAAUCGGGUUUUGGAUUCGAUCAGACACGGGCCCGUAUGAAAUCUAUGGUCAGUCCCCACCUGAAGAAACGAGAGGCAGAGAGAAACCAAAGAGAUGAGGUAACGGCAUCGACAAGCCACACGAUUCAAUUCUCUACCAGGAUAUAUAUUGUUUCCUUUGAUAAGUCACAACACAAAUUCCACUACUCAUUUUCAGUGUCCUAGAUUUGAGUAAGUUUUAGUUCUUUUUCAAAGUGGGUGGUUUGAUUUAGCUUAGCUUACCGUGUUGUAAAUUAUCAUCUUUUUUGUUGAAUGCUGUACUUGGACGUCACUUUUUGUAGUAUCAUGGUGUUAGUGAUUGUAUUGUGAGGAACCCAGUUGGGGAAUUGGUUCAUUUGUUCUAAAUCUCCAGUUUGGUUUGUUUUAGCUUAGUGUGUUUUACUUACUUGUGAGUUAUACACUUGAAUAUGUUGUUUUGUGGAACGAGUUCUUUGUUUUUCAUGAUUUUGUUUAAAAAUGGAGCUCGAGCUUGAGUUUCUAGAAGCCAACUUAAGGAGCGUUCAUCUUGGUAUAAUGAAUUGAAGCGGUCAUGAUUCAGUUUUGCUCAUUUUGAUCCAUUUCUCACUUGUCUUUCGUAGUUUUGAUCCACAUUGAUGCCAUUUGUUUUCACUAUUCGAGAAAGAGGUUACUUUUUUUUUAAUGUCAAGGAAUCCUCUUAAUCUGAUUACUUACAUCAGAAUAUAAAAUUAAGAUAUGAGGUCUGUAAGACUCUUCAAUAUACAAAUUCCUUGUCCACCUUUAAAUAACAGAAUUUGACAAUUUUCAGUGAGCCUUGCAGGCAGUAACUUCCAUGCACAUCGGUUAUCAAUUCACCAAGUUUUGUGUUAUCAUGUCACAUAUUUCUUCAUAUACCUCUGGUAUAGUAUUUCUAUUGUAAAAAAUUUCAUUCAUGUAUUUGAAACCACAACUACUACAGAUAACAUUCCAUGGAGGUUUGCAACCAUUUUGCUCAGUCUGGAAGGAUUUCGAGUCCAUAUGUAUGUCGUAGACAGGGUACUUUUGGGAAUGUCAAAUAUAACACAUCACCAAAGAAUUUUCUUCAAAACACAAGCUAUAAAGUCUUUCUACUCCAAUUUUAUUGAAAGCUUUGCUUUCAUUAAUGAUCAUUCUUGCCCAAAUGAACUAGGCAACAUUAAUUGCAACUUUUAUAAGGAUUGGGAUUCUUCAGUUGGAGCAAUAGAUGAACUGCACCCACACCCUAUGGGAGGUGGUAAAUUGAAAUUCUUAGAAAGUUAUAACAUAUCUGAUGUUGAAGAAGGACCUUUGAACUUUGCAGACCAGUUUGCUGAUAAUACAGAUAGUUUAAUACAACUUGUGGAACCUGAAAUAACAUCAACUAUUGAUAUGACACCAUUGAAUCCCAAUUUGCGAUCUGAUUCCCUAGAAAUGGAUAACGAUUCAUUAUCUAGUGCAAAGGCUGGUUUGAUGAUUUUUUGGGCGAGGCUAGGGACUCCAUCAACACUUCAGUAAAUAAUGGAGGAAAUGUUGUGCAAAGCUCACUAGGCACAAUUACUUCUUCAAUAACAUCGAUUAAGAAAGGGGCUUCAGAAGCAGUAGAUGGUGCCUUGAGUAAAGUAUUCUCUACUUUUGAUCAAACAGAAGAAUUAGAUGCCAAAGAUUGACUAGCUUUUCAUCUAGUUUUAGGGAAGCCACACAAAAAGCAACUGGCACUUCUGUUGAUGUGCUCAGAGUUGCAAUCGUUGCAGUGGAGGAAUCUAUAGCAAAAGGGGCUUCUUUUGUUGAUUAUUCUUAUAGGCCUGCCAAGGAUUUGCUUCCUCUAGAGAUAAGGGAUGCACUGAAUUUGUCUGAAGAAAGGGUAACAGAGAUUUUGAGGCCAAUUGGUCCUACUUUUCAGCAGGUACAUUAUGCUUGGCACGUUUUACUUUGAUGGCCAUUGUACUCUCGUUUAAUUGUAUGGACUUGGAAAAAAAAAUCUCCUGCAAAGAUAUAUUUGGAUUAUUUUAGAAAUCUUUUUAUUGGAGACAUCAGUCACUACUUUCAGCUUACAGGACUUCUAGUUGAAAACUCAAUUGCGUCCAUCUCUGUUACACUUCUUAAUUAUGUGCUGAUCUAACUAAUUUAUGAUCCAAAACCAAAGCUAAAUUUCCUAAACCUGCUUUUACACCUUAAGCAGGUUUACAUUGCAAUUGAGGGGCUGGAGAAAAGUCUUGGCUUGGAUCCAAAUGAUCCAGUUGUGCCUUUAGUUCUUUUCCUUGGAACCUCAGCCACUUUGUGGUAUGGUUGUCCUUUUGUGCAUGAAGGAUUUGUUUAUUUAAUCUGCAUUACAUGGGAAGCUUAAGUUUUCUAUUAGAUUUGUGCAGGGGUUUUUAUAGGGUGUGGGUAUAUGGUGGUUACUCUAGAGAUUUGUCUUCGCAAUUAACUUUGGAGCUCUUGGCAGGGAAGGAAGACACCUUAUUGAUGUCCGGCCUGAGGCAAGAGAGUAAAUUUUCUGGCCUUUUAUGUUCCUAAGUUUCUUUUUUGUUAGAAAUUUUAUUACCUCAAUGAGAGACACUAAAGCUGACUGCUCAGACAUUUUUUACAUCACAGUAAAAAAAUCUCAAAUCUGGCACCCUCAUUAAUUUCCUUUUUUUGCUCCUUAACUUGGCAUUGAACUUGGUGGACAUUGUUUAUAUGAAGGUUCUUAGAGAAAGAGAUGGCAUUCCUGAUCUUAGGCGAGCUGCUCGGUUUCGCUAUGCAAUUGUAACUCUACUAGAGGUUGGUUUUAUUUGAUAAUACUAUUCAAAAGCUAUGAGUGGAGAGGUAUUGCUAUUUGGUAUGAGGAUGAUAGUUUAGAACAAUUACUUUGUUUCUAAAUGUCAAAUAACUCUUUGAACCAACAAUAAAAAAAAAUAAAACAAGAAUUGGAGCUUGAAUAUAUCCCUUUUUCAUAACUCUGUCUUAUAUUCUUCAACUUUAUUCAGGUUGAUGGCCCAGGAAGGAAGCUUUUAAAGGGUGGACGAGAUCUUGAUGACAUCUUAAUUGAUGCAGUCAUUCGAAACUUGAAAGCUAUACAGGUAUAGCUUUAUGUUUUAAGAGCUUCGAUAUAACUAUUGUUAUGCAUGCCAUCUUUAUUUCAAGACAUUCAGAAAAAUGAGAAUUCUGAGUAGUGCAAGAAAGAAAGGAAAUUCUCGAGGGGAGGGGGUUUGGGCUUGGUUUCAUCAAUGUUGUGUGUUUUAGCAUCAGUGGCCUCUGAGGCCACAAGAAAUUGUUUUGGUAUUACCAUAUGCAGUACAGUUGCUACAUCACAAUCUCCUGAGUGUUCCAUGUUUAAAUCCUGAAGCAGGAACAUUGUCUCAAAUUUACCAGGUAAUAGUUAUGGAUGUUGAUGGUUCUCGCAUUGCUAGAUCCUUGAGAAAGCUUGGGGUUAAGGCAGGUAUUUAGAAUCUCUAAGAUUUUUUUUUUUAUCACAUAAAAGCCUAAACAUGUAAUUCAUCGUGGAACUAUAAGGGCGAAAUGAAUUUAUCCACUCUCCCUUAGUCAAGUUUCUUUGGGAUAAAAACCAUUUCUGAGAGUUUUUCAGUAUCAGUAACCUUAGAAACAAAUAACAAUAUCCAUAUUAACCAGAUUUGGGAAGAGUACAUUAAUGUCUUUUGUGCAUUUACAAUGUUGUUAAGUCAAAAAUUGUUACUCCAUAUGCAUGUUUUUCUGUCUUAUAAAUGCUGUAGAUAGAACCCAAUUUUCAUUCAUGUUGUUCUCAAGUGGUAUAAUUCAGAAAGCACAUUAGUAUUACAUCUAACAUGUGUCCUUAAAAUAUCUCUCUCUCUAAAAAAAAAAAAAGUCUUUACAUUGCUUCAAUGGGAAGUUGCAAUGUAUUAAUCAAUUUCAAUAUUCUUUUAUUUCAUUCCAUAGAUUGCUGGGCUGUAUUGUUGUGUAAAUGACUUGCAAAGAAACAAGUUAAAUGCAUGAAUUCUAGAUGAUAUCAUGGUUCAUUCCUGGACUAAUCAUAUAAUUUACAUACAGAAGAUAGUAUAAUUUUGCAGAAUUAAACCUUGUGACCUGCAUUAUAAGAAAAUUUGAACUACCAGGUGAGUCUAUUGUUAAUCUGGAACCACAACCUAUUGUAUCAUAUUGCUAAUUGUUUGUUUGCAAUUUUAUGUGACAGAGACCAUACUUGGUCCAAGGUGGCUUCCAGUCUUGGGUAAAACAAGGUAUCCAAGCCAAGGAGCUUAAACCUGAGACAGUGCUAACCAUACUUAAUAAGGUAAGGUUAUUGCAUGACUUGCAUAUUCUCCUAACUAGUAUAAAGUUCUAGAAAUACAAAAUUCUAUUUGCUAAAAGCCAUCGAUCAACUCAAAGUAUAUGUGUGGAAAAUGACAAGCUAUAGAUUAUAUAAUAAUAUAUUCAGCCAGCUGAGAUAAAACUAGAGAAUUGAUUAAUUUGACAUUUGUUUCAAAAACACAUGGAAAGAGUGAAAUUUCUUUGUUGGGUGCACAAUAUUGGUGCCCAAUGGAUACUAUCAAAAUGGUAUCCAUACAGCACAGAACAACAUGCACACACAGAGGCAUAUGAGAUGUACUUGUGUCUGUGUAGUGCGUGUGUAAAUUUACGUGGAGAGACUUGUUUCAAAAACAAAUAAAAAGAGUGUGCUAUGUGCACUCACACUUGUAUGAACAUGUGCAUCAUGAGUGUUUGUAUAUAUGUAAUUGAUGGGCUACCAUAAACUGGGUAUGCAGGCCAUAGGAAUUGUGUAUGUUUCGAAGCAUGAGAGAGAGAGAGAGAGAUUUCAAAAAAAUAAAAAUAAAAAGAGCGUGCUAUGUGCAAUCACACUUGUAUGAACAUGUGCAUCCUGAGUAUUUGUGUAUAUGUAAUUGAUGGGCUACUAUAAACUGGGUAUGCAGGCCAUAGGAAUUGUGUAUGUUUCGAAGCAUGACGGUGCACAGAUUUAUGAAGUGAAAUUAUGCACAGUAUCCAAGUAUUGAUUCUUGAGAAAAAUGAUUACUUUGUCUUUAAGCAAUCUAAUGGUGUUAGAAUUGGCAUCUCUUGUUAAAGACUUUUGGUUCAGAUUGAAUUAUUUCUUUGGUGAACUAGAUUGAAUUAUAUGGAAUUCAAUUGGAGAAGUGAUUGUUAUUCGAACUGUAGUUUUCAUAAAUUUUUCGACGUGUUAGGUGCAAUUGAUUAAAGAACUCUUGAAGCUGUUGUGCAGAUAAUGUAGUAAGAAAUCAACAAGAGGUUGUAUCCCAAGUAUCUGAGCCCAAGUCUACAUGAACGUUUUGAAACAUUCAAUCAAACAAGUUGAUAUGAUUCAUUACAACUCAGAAAGUUAUUUUGAUAUAUGCAACAAGCUGACUUGGAUCAUUUUACAAUCUGGGAGGAAGGUUGUUCUCCUUGUUCAUACAAAUCAACAACCUUCAGAUUUCAAUCAACAUUUUUCUUGUUGCUAAGACCAUUUGGUCGUGUAGGAUUUACAUUCAAUAUGCUUUGUCAAUCUAUGCUAUUCUUUUCAUGGAUUGCAAAUUAUAAUUACAAGUAUUUUCUGGAAGUGCUUGAUUUUCUUGUGCAAGAUCUAAGCUUUUCACAAUAUACUUGAUAGUUGUGACAACUUGGCAUCAUUUCAGGAGGCUGAAGCAAUUCUAGAAGAUAUCAGACCUUUGCUAGUGCAAACACUUGGGUAUGGUGUGGUACGUGUUGGGCGGAAUCCGGCGACCGGUGAUGUACUGAUAAUUGCUCAACGGAGGGAAAGAACACUAAGACACAAUAUUUUACGUGGUUCGGCAAAACCGCCUACAUCCACGGGAGAGAGUCAUUUUAUUAUAGAAAGAGAAGGGAUACAAUAAAUACAUGGAGGAGGAGGCACAUCCACUCAACUCAACUCACUAUUCACGCAGCUGCAAUGGCUACAGGGCUGCUGCCCAUGGCAGCAGCUCUUUCUCUCCUCUUUCUCUUCACUUCAUUCUCAUGUUCUCUCACACCUUAGCUCUCAAAACAUGCCUCUUUUAUAGGCAAUGCUAGCACCAACUCCAGCUACUUUUCAUCAAUAAUGGCUGCUGAAUUUUGACAAUUGAGAAGGCUGCACAUGGGAGUCAAUGGUGGCUGCUCUUCUUCAACAAAGGUGGAUGGUCAAAGUCAAUGGUUAGGCACAUUAAUGGCAACACACCUAACAAUCACCCCCUUUGACAUUUAUAUGGGCAAUUGUCCUCUUGCUUCUUCAGCACAAUCUUGCAUCCUGCAGCUCUUCCAAGCUUACCAUUCCGAGAGCGUCUCUGGCCAAGUUUACAGGUACUCGCCAAACCUUUCAAUCACCAGAGUCACCAAAGCACACCCUUGCUUACACCAAAGGAUCACUUCAACCAGAUGGUCUCACACAUCACAUCUGAAGAGUGUUAACGCUUGUCUCUGGGAACAUUCCCCUUCGAGCGUAUCAACCAUGCUCGGUCCGGAAUGAUUUAUCAAGCCUCACACCAAGGCUUACAACACCCCCUCAAACGGAUAUUCCAAGUGCGACAGUCAUUAUCUGAGUAUCUCAAUAUGAUCACAAGCCCACCACUCUUCCAAGAGUCUACUCAUCCAGGAGUUGCGCCUGCCCUCUGUUCCACCGUAGGAACCACGCCUUACUUCUCCGUGAGUCUCUCGCUCUUAGUCGUAAGAGUCCAGGUAGCUCUCCACCUUUAACCAUGGGGGCAACCCAUUAAAGGUUGAUCCAUAUCUGUCUUCAUACUCUGAGUAUUACAAUGCCAUCUCCGAGCUCACCACCUUGACAAGAGUCAACUCGUUCCCGGAACCUGCGCAUGCCCUCUGCUCCUUCAUAGCAGCCGCGUCUUAAUGCUCCACAAGUCACCACUUAUUGUCCAAGGCAAAUGUCUUCUAGCUCAUUGAUCUUUAGCAUGGGGGCAAUAUCCAUGAAAGUCAAUCCUGCAUUUGUCUUCAUACUCAUCAUAGCCACUUCAUUGGCUAUCCACCUGUCCACUCAUAUCUAGCCAUCACAUUGGCUCUGGGGCGUUCUGAACUGGGCUCAUAUCGUGGCCCACACACCUUCUCCUUAGGUGUCUCCGCUCGUCGUCAUGCGGCGGUCUGAAAUCUGGGCUCAUAUCAUGGCCCUCACACCUUCCAUCCGAGGUGUCUCCGCUCGUCGUGGAGCGGUCUCAUCCUCCUUCAUCGGGAUGACUCAAGUGGCUUCAAGAUUCUCUACCACCAUGUGGACUUGGGAGAGAUUACUGCCACUGACUACAUAGAAAGAGAAAAUUGCGGUAUACUCCUCGCAAUCCUCCACCUUGAUUUCUAUGUUUGGAGCUUCUAUGCCUUUCUGCUUGACAGCUCCACCUACACCAACUCUCUUUGGUGGCUUCGCCUUUCAUCAUAGGCGGUCGCCUUUUAUCACAGGCGUUUGCACCCCCUCAAUUAGGUGCCUCUGCAACAGCUCAUCUUUCCAUCCUUGCAUGCAUUGGAAAGGUCCUCGCUUGUUGUCUUUAUCAAGAGCAUAAGAGACUUCAUGUUGUACAUUCUUCACACAGUCUCUGCUCUGAGCUUCAUCUGGGAACUCUUCUUCUCCUUGCACCUGUUGUCUCAUUACAGUACCUCGUUGGAUCCCUCGGGUACUCUUGCACAAUCUCGUGUGCCCUCGUGCAAUUACUGUUCUCCAGAUUUCUCCCUAUUCCUUGCUUAUGUUUGACAGCAGCUCAUCCCGUCACAACACCUGUCCAAGUCAAAAUAGGGUGCCAAUCUUUAUCCCCUUGCUGUAUUUCUCUUCCAUUAUCAGGGUCUUCAUCAAUUCUCCCUCGAGAAAUCACAGUCACCGAAUCUGCUUCUUUGGAGAAAUCACCACUCCAUCAGAUCCUUGAUCAUGCGGAACCCAACUGUUCCCCUUGUGCCGUCAUCCUGCUAGUCUUCAACCGUUUCAUUACAAACUGCUAUAUAUACGAAAAUAGUACCGUAUGGAUAAUCCUUCCACUAAGCAAGUUCCCAGGAAAGAUUGGAGGGGUCACAACGGUCCCGCUUAAAACCCAAUCUCCUAGACAGAACUUCUUAGGCCAUAUCUAUCCAUCGUACUGUCUCUCCGUAUAUACAACCAUUUGCUAGCUUUGUUGCGGCUUUCCUUUACAAGUGAUCUGGAAUAUACAGGUUUAAUACAUGAUUUCUCAACAUCUAGCGAGACUACUAGUGCUUAGAUUCGUCAAGAUUGGUCUUCGUCAAUUUCCACUCUCCACCUCAAAUCGUCCACAUAACCGGGUGUCCAGAGUGUCCCAAUUUUGCCUUCCAUCAAGGCAUUAAAUUUAACCAUUUAACAGUUCAGCACAUGUAAUUGGGUAAACAUGUGCACCUUCUUCUUCUUCAUCUCCAUCGACCACUAUGAUGACCUUCAGAUGCCUCCUGAUCGGGCAAUCUCUCUUUAAUAAUUCACCACCGCCAUUUUUGGUCUCGAAUCUCAACGAUCGGACCGUACCAUUGCAUCCGGAAUGAUAAAAUUAGCUGGAAACAUGUCUUAAAUCGUCCAAAUCACACUUCAGACGGCUAAGCUUUGAUCAAAACAAUUCUGGCAUGAUCAACGGCUCAGAUUCAAUCUCAGAUUCGGUUGCACGUAGGAUCAGCUACACUGGAUCCUAUCCCUCGGCUCGGCUCAACUCGGCUCGCGGCUGAUGACGUGGCAGGUGGGCCCCCUAUGCUGACACGGAUGUUGACUAGUCAAUUUCUUGUUGACUGUGUAUGAUGAUGUCAUCCUUGCAUCAUGCUGAUGUCAUCCUGUUCAUGAUACCGUCACUAUUCAUGUCUACUGUUCACAUUGGUCGGGUCAACUGGUAUUCGGGUCGGGUCAACUCAUCCGGGUGAAGAAGAUGCGUGGGGCGCGUCUGUGCGCGUGGGCAGACGCCUUGCCGGAGAGUGAUGGAGAGUGCGGCCAUGUCCGACGUCCGAUUUUGACGCCGUUUUCACCGGUGGCUUCGUAUCGUCGUCCUCUACACAGUGGGAUGGUCAAAACACCAUUUGGACAACUUUCAUUUUUGAGCAAAAAAUCAAACACCACUUAAACCAUUUGGCUCUGAUACCAAUUGUUGGGCGGAAUCCGGCGACCGGUGAUGUACUGAUAAUUGCUCAACGGAGGGAAAGAACACUAAGACACAAUAUUUUACGUGGUUCGGCAAAACCGCCUACAUCCACGGGAGAGAGUCAUUUUAUUAUAGAAAGAGAAGGGAUACAAUAAAUACAUGGAGGAGGAGGCACAUCCACUCAACUCAACUCACUAUUCACGCAGCUGCAAUGGCUACAGGGCUGCUGCCCAUGGCAGCAGCUCUUUCUCUCCUCUUUCUCUUCACUUCAUUCUCAUGUUCUCUCACACCUUAGCUCUCAAAACAUGCCUCUUUUAUAGGCAAAUGCUAGCACCAACUCCAGCUACUUUUCAUCAAUAAUGGCUGCUGAAUUUUGACAAUUGAGAAGGCUGCACAUGGGAGUCAAUGGUGGCUGUCAUCUUCUUCAACAAAGGUGGAUGGUCAAAGUCAAGGUUAGGCAUAUUCAAGCAACACACCUAACAAUACGAAAUCAGAUUGCUUUUUUGUGAUACUGCACUAUGAUUAGUCUAUUUCAAUCAUUUCUACACUUGGAUUUCUUUUCCCCAAAAUCCAUCUUUUUUUUAAAAAAGGAUAUCUUGUGUCUAGAGAGAUGUGUUUAAGGGAUGGGAAUGAUCUUUUUAUUUUGUAGCAAGGACAUAAAAUAAUUACAGGUUGAUUUCUCUGUUUUGAAUGUAUGCUUCUGUAUGGUCUAGAGACAUGCUUCCAUAAAUAUGUGUACAUGAUUAACUAGAACUAUUCAUGCUGUUUACAUCAGGUCUUCAUUAAUCAUCAAUCCAUGAUUGAUAAAUAUCUAUUGCUUACCAUGCAAAUGUCCAGUGCAUCCUUUACUUAUACUAUAUUCACGCUGUGGACAGGGUUUUGCUGCAGCAUCAUAUGCAUUGCUAGGUUUGUACAUUUUCUUUUCUUUUCUUUCUUGUUGCUUUCUUCACGUUCUUCUUGCCAACCAAGCUUGAACUUUGUUUCAGAGUGGGAGAAGACCAUACAAUUUAUUGACAUCAUUGGCUUCAGUCAGGUAUACUUUUAUUUGUUAUAUUGCCCUGGUUAAUGUUCCUUUCACACACACAUAGAUGUUGAUUUCUAAGCUGAUAAUGAUUAAAACAAACUUCACACAUUCUGAUAUUGUGCUAGUACUCAGAUCCUUUGAUGUAAUCCGUGAAAAUAACAUGUAUCCUUUGAUAAUAGAUCUCCUUUGUCUAUUUUGCAUGUGUCCUAGGGAAAGCUUUAUGUCAUUGCUAAAUUUAGUUAAGUGAACAUUGAGUUUCUCUAAUUAUUGGUUUCUCAUACUCUGUCAGACUAUUGAUCAGCGGGUUGCUUCUUACAAUGGCCCUGAUGAUUUUAAGCAAGCUGUGAGGUAUAAAUUAGUUUGCUUAGGCUAGUUUUGAGUUUAUUUGAAAGAGUUAUAAAAUGUACAAUAAUAAAAUCUUGAAUUUAAAGUUUUUAUGUACUUACUGUUUUUCUUGAAUAAAUGCGCUAGAUGGUUGUUAUAGUUAGUUGAGGAAUUAGUUGAAUAACAGAAAGUUAGUUCGUUAGUCAGUUGCAAGGGAAGAACAAUAUUUACAACUAUCUUGAAAACCAAGUAAUAAUUGAAGAUCAAUUUGCAGUAAUUACAGAACUCUCUCUCCCUUUCUAUUUUCUUUUAUAUCUCCCAAAAUUUUCUUUUGAACUUUUUGUCCGCCGGUAUAUUUUCAUCAAAGUGCAGAUACACCCCCCAGCUUUUCAACUCCAAAGGCCUUUGGAUAUAAUGACCUACCUCCGUAACUCCAAGGUUGUAGAAAUUAAAUGUAACUUCAUUGCCAGAAUAUUGAUGUAAAUAAUUUCCCAAUUGGCGCUCGUAGUGUAGAAUCAUGUGAUAGGAGUCACAUGACACCAAGACAUCUGUUGGAAUCUGGUCUACCCCUAAAACAAAGUCGUAGACUUUAUCGUUUUUACACUUAACAUAGCAAUCACAAUAUGCCCUAUGAAAGGGAAGAGGGCCUAGAAAGACAAGGCAGAAAGCAAUUCCCUUGAGCGGACGACAAUUUGAGGGCAACUGUAUGGUGACUGAAGAUCCAAUUCCUUUGUCACCGAACCAUUCUGGAAUUUCACUCCCCGGUAGAACCAUAUCAAUUCUGCCAUUUAGGAUCUCCUCUCCGGACUGUAAUACAAAAGUCACAUUUCGAAAAUGUGAUGAAGCAAGCAAGAAAGAGAGAAGAAAUAAAGACGGGGUUAAAAGGGAUACCUGAAUUCUCAAAUGCAUUGCCUCUAUCAGUUGUUUCUGAUCCAAUUUGAAGCAAUUUCUAAAAUCCCAUUUGAAGCAGAUAUUGAUAGUUGAUGUCACGGUUUUUAGUGAUGCACAGUCAUGUGCUUUUAGAGUCUUCAGCGAAGGGGGAAGUUCAGGUAGCUCUUUAAUAGGUGUUCUACUCAAAGUCAGAUAUUCCAAACAUACCAUAUCUUUGAUUGACAAGGGUAGCUCUUUAAUAGGCGUUCUAUUCAAAGUCAGUUCUUUCAAACAUACCAUAUGCUUCAUUAAUGAUGAGGGUAUCUCUUUAAUGCCUGUUUCACCCAAGUGAAGAUAAGUCAACGUUUUGAGUCUUGUGAGAAACUGGAUUGAUGAUGGCACCUCUUUAAUAGCAGUUCCCUUUAGAUUUAAGCUUGUUAUAUCCCCUGAAAUCUCUGGAAACUUGGUGAUCUCCCGGCAACCACUUAGAGAAAGAUGAACCAAAUUGCCAGUAACUGAUUGUGGAACUUCUUUGAUAGAAGUUUGUUCCAACUCUAACUGUGUCAUAUUUUGUGAAAUCGUUGGACACGUGGUCACAUUUAGGCACCGACUUAUUACAAGGUAUAUGAGAACCUUUGAAUCAAGCAUUGGAAAACUUCUAAGAUUAUAGCAACCAGUGAGAUCAAUAACUUCCAGCUUGUCAAGAUAUUGAAGAGAUGACGGAACCUCGGUUAACCUUUUACAGUUACGAAGUCUUAAGCACUCUAAAUUGUUGGCCUUUGAUAGAUCUGGCAAUUCCGUCAAAUAUGGAGAGUCAGAUAGGUCAAUUGUUCUUAAAUUUCCAACAUCCUGUCAACAGAAAAAGGCAUAAUUAGAAAGUUAGCACCUCCAACUUCAUAUUUCUGAUCAUAAAUCUGUAGCAAUUAAAUCAUACCUUUACUACUGUCCAAAGUUUUACAAGCUUGCUUUUGCGUAGGCGAAGCUCGACAAGGUGUUCAGCACGAAAAGAUGGCGGCAAGGAUUUCGAAGGGAAUCCAUCCCAUCGCAAAUAUCUCAGCUCAUUAGGAAGAUAUUCGAGGCCAGUAGGAGGAAGGUGCAUUUUAUUUUCUAGGGAGAAAAAAUCGUGAGAGAAAUUGAGAAAUCUAAGACCAUCCAUCAUUGCGAAGGCAUCAGAUUUCAAGUGUAUGUCUCCCGAGAAUUCGGACAUGUCCAAAGAUAUGCCUUUAAUUUUUCGAGUUCCCUGUUAAACAAGAAUAAAGAAUAAACAAACAAUAAUACAAUCUACGCAAACACAUCAACUUUUGAGCAAAUACAUGAUCGACAGUUAAUGGCUGUAGCUUUCACCUUAUUUUCCUCCAAUACUUGAACGACAUCAGGAGGAUGACACAACCAGCUACGUUCGCCAGGAAAAUCAGAUUCUGCACGAACAAUGUUAAAUGCCAUUUCUUGUAGUAAAUCAUGCAUUUCUAGCCAGUAAUGAGUUGGAGUUAUGAGACACUUAUCAAUGAGCAUGCUUAUAUCGAACUCCACAGACCGAUCAUAUAAGCCAUCUAAUAACAUUCUUGUUACUUCUUCUGGCUCCCUCCUAUUGAAGAAGAAAUGUGCUAUGUCAAGAAAUAUGGAUUUUUGUUCUGAAUCCAACCCAUCGUAACUAAUUCUCAACGCCCUUUCGAUUUGAGGGUGCUGAGCUAGUUUAUUCAAUGCACUGCGCCAUUCUUCGAUGCUUUUACCAUAGAGAGAGGAACCCAAAACUUUAAGAGCCAACGGAUUGCCUUGUACAUGCCUUGCAAUCUGUUCUAUCAAGUCUCUUUGAUCAAUUGUGGGGAUGCAAUUCUUCAAGGCUUUCGAGCUAAAGAGUCGAAUAGCUUCUUCAUCGUUCAACCCCUCAACCUCGUAUGUCUCAUCAACUACAUUACUAAGCACUUGCUUGUCCCUACUUGUUAUGAGAACUUUACUGCCCGGACCAAAUGAACUGUUUCGUCCAUCAAGCAAAUCUCUCCAUUCUUCCAAACGCAUUAAAUCAUCCACAUCAUCCAGAACAAUAAAAACCUUUAUACGACGAAGUCUAUCCCUCACAAAAGAAUCUCGAAAACUCAAGUAGCCCAUAGUGUUCAGAGUUUCUUGGCCAAGCAGCCGUUUAAGAAAUUUUCUUCGCAAAUCAGAUUGUUGCCUAAAGUUUUCAAAAAAGAUUCCUUCAAAUCGAGAACAAACCUUGCUGCACACAGCUUCAGCAAUCGUUGUCUUACCGAUACCACCCAUUCCCCAUAUCCCUAUAAUGAGAACAUCUGGAGAAUUUAUAUUUAACAAAGACUCAACUUUGCUAACACGAACAUCAAUUCCAAAUAGACCAGCCGUAGUGUGACAUGACUCGAUAGAUCCGGAGGAAGACAUGGCAUGCAAUUUUUUCAAAACAUCUCCAACGAUUUUCUCAAUAAAUUCAGACUCCGGCCUGACAAACAAGAAGAACACACAUAAUUGUUAGUCAAAAUGGACCGGACAAGAAGAAACAUAUAAACAUACUCACUCCUUAGUAGCUACAUCUAUACAUAGUAGACACGUAUGAGUUAUUUAGCAUCAUUAUUGGCAAUGGAUAGUGCUAAUGUAACACAUGAAUCGAUGAUAACAUUGAGUUGAGUGAUAUGUAAAAAUACAUGACAUUCUUCAGUGAUAUGCAUGUAACACAUGAAUCGAUGAUAACAUUGAGUUCAGUGAUAUAUAACACGUAAAAACUGGAAACUACAUGUAAUCGGUGUUUAUCUAAUAAAAUCAAUUAAAUGCAAAUGCAUAUGAUGUUUUCUCAUGCCAUCCUUUUCACCUCAAACAAAUAGAAUAUUAUUUAACGACAAAAGAAAACUUUGUCUGUCCUUGUAAAAUUUACCGUAAGGAUCAAAAAAAUAUUUUUUAAAAAUAUAUUAUUUUUUAUAUAAAUACAUCAAAAUAAUCUUAAAAGACUUAAAAAAAUAUUUAAAAAAAAAAUAAUUCAAAAAUAUAUUUUUUUUGAAACAAAAAAAUAAACAACCACUUAAUAUCAAUACAAGCCUUAAUAUUUAUACAAGCGUUCCCCUACAAAUAAUUUUUUUUUCAAAAUUAUUUUUAAUAUAAACAUAUUAAAAUAAUUUAAAAAUACUAAAAAAAUUAAUUUAAAAUAAAAGCAAUUUAAUUUUUUUACAAAACAUUUUAAAACACAAAACAAACAACCACUUAAUAUCUAUACAAACAUUUUAUAUUAAAUAAUAAUUUUUUAUUUUUUAAAAAUAUUUUUUAAUAUACACACAAAUAAUAUAAAAACACUAAAAUAAAAUAAAAUUUUUUUAAAAACAAUUUUAAAACACAAAACAACCAACCACGUAAUAUCUAUCCAAGUGCUUCGCCACAACGUUUACAAAAUCAAAUAAAAUAAAUAUGAAUUCACAGAGCUCAUCAUUCUCAAUAAUUUUAAAUUAAAUUUCAAAUCCUCAACAAAUGAACGAAUAUUUUCUCAUGGGAUAUAUUUCAAGAGCUUACCCAGAAUUCCCUAAGCCCCAUCCAGAUAGAUUGGCUGCAUCCGUCAAAGCGUCUCUGAAGCUCUGCACUUCUUCCAACGUCAGAGCUUUAUUCCUUAUAAGUCUAGCAAAUGCAUCCCCAAAGCUUCCUGUUUGAUGUCUUACAUGGGUUGGAUCCACCUUGUAGAAUACCGGAAUAACUAUCUGUCCAUUGUUUUUUCUACACUCAAAAAUCUUUACAAGCUCCUCCAAGCACCAUUUGGAAGAUGCAUAGUUUUCAGAAAAAACAAUCACAGAAAGCUUGGCCUCUUCAAUUGUUCUCAGAAGUGAUGCCGAGAUCUCAUCUCCUCUCACAAGCUGAUUAUCUAUGAAAGUUAGGAUUUGUUUCCGGUCCAAAGCAGCAAGGAGGUGGCUGGUAAAACCAGCAAGAGUGUCUUGUUCGCUGAAACUAAGGAAGACAUCAUAUUUAAUUCCUUGUGGCUGGGCGGUGGUUAAGGUGGAAGGAGUAGAUGGCGAUGGAGAUAUAUGAUGGUUUCGUAUGAUGAAUCUCCAGAUAUAAGCAAACAUUUCGAAGAAACAAGAGUAAUUAGACUCUGGUGGUAAGGUAGGUCUGGAGGGAGAGAGCGGAAGUAACUCAAGGAAAAAAGAUGAGGCUGAUUUUGAAUCAGUAGCUUAGGCUUUACGUGUUUAAGACCCUGCCUUAGGCAUAUGUAUAAUUUAUAGGCAUCAAAUCCAAGAAUUUUCUUAGAAC
rnacentral:lncRNA from 1 species